GGAGAGGGAGAGGGAGAGGGAGAGUGAUUAUGAAGUUGGUGACCAUGGUCGUGGGCGUUCACAUGAUAGAGAAUCUGAUUAUGAUCAUGUUGACUCAAAACACGAGAGGGAUCGCCGUGCUGAAAGGGACUAUGAUCAUACUGAGCUAGAGGAUGACCAUGGUUGGUAUGAACAACCUGAGCAGGGGCACAGGCAGCCAGAUGCAGAGCAUGAUCAGCGUUAUGAUCAUUAUGAACGUCCCCGAAGUAGGGGACAAUAUGAUCAUAUGGAUGUUCGAGGUGACCAUGACCGUUAUGAUCAAUAUCCUGACCAUGAUCAUGAUCGUUAUGAUCAAAUGGAUGACGAUGAUUAUCACUAUGAUCGUGGAGCAUCUGAGUCACAUGAAAGAGAUCGUGAAUAUCGGCGCUCAAAGAGAUCACUUUCCCAGGACUAUGAUAACUGAAAGUGCAAGUUUGCUGUAAUCCUGCUGUUAUGCUUUAUCGGUAAGGUCACUGAAUUUAACAGAAGCCCUUUUUGCUCUAUAUUGCUCUGUCUUUCCUGCCUAAUUUGGUUUGAAUUAUAUAAAUGAGUUUAGGUGCGUGUUUGAUCAAAAGCUAGACUGGUUUGUUGUCUCUACUUCAAAAUAUGGCUGUUGAACUUCCCAUUUUAUGUGUAAGUGAAUAGGAUUCAAGUAUAUUUGGUCGUUUUGUUGGAUUUUGUUCCUAAAUUUGAAAUGACUCGGGAUAUUUGCCUUGCUUAGCUUCUUUUCUCAGAUUGCAAUACAAUGUUAUGCUGUAUUGGAAUUUAAUUUAUUUAAUUGGCAUCCGCUUGACUAUUUUUUAGCUUGGGCACUGAGGUAAACCGUACAAUUGUAUAUUGUAUUACAUCUUAAUAAUUGUGGUUGAUUCUCAUCGUUGUUUGGAAGUAGUAGCUUGUGGUUGAUUUUCAA
rnacentral:misc_RNA from 1 species